UACUGAUUUGUUGAUUGUCGAU
rnacentral:misc_RNA from 1 species